UAAAAACCCCGACUUCGGAAGGGGUGUAUUUAUUAGAUACAAAGCCAAUGCCCUUCGGGGCUCUUUGGUGAUUCAUGAUAACUAUACGAAUCGCACGGCCUUGCGCCGGCGAUGGUUCAUUCAAAUUUCUUCCCUAUCAACUUUCGAUGUUUGGGUAUUGGCCAAACAUGGUUGCAACGGGUAACGGAGGGUUAGGGCUCGACCCCGGAGAAGGAGCCUGAGAAACGGCUGCUACAUCCAAGGAGGGCAGCAGGCGCGCAAAUUACCCAAUCCCGACUCGGGGAGGUAGUGACAAUAAAUACUGAUACAGGGCCCUUUCGGGCCUUGUAAUUGGAAUGAGUACAAUUUAAAUCCCUUAACGAGGAACAAUUGGAGGGCAAGUCUGGUGCCAGCAGCCGCGGUAAUUCCAGCUCCAAUAGCGUAUAUUAAAGUUGUUGUGGUUAAAAAGCUCGUAGUUGAACCCUGGGCCUGGCUGGCCGGUCCGCCUCACCGCGUGCACUGGUCCGGCCGGGCCUUUCCCUCUGUGGAACCCCAUACCCUUCACUGGGCGUGGCGGGGAAACAGGACAUUUACUUU
rnacentral:rRNA from 1 species